UUUUUUAACCUUCUCUCUCCUCAAAGACGAGCUUCAGACUCUCUCUCCUCAAAGACAAGCUUCAAACUUCCUUCUCCAAAUCGAUUUCGAAAUAAGCCCUAGAUUGAAACUAAAUUUUCACAAAACCUUCGAACGAAGAACGAAGCCCUAGAAUCUUCACAAAUCGAGCUUUCUUUUUCCAGAUCUCAAGUGCAGAAGAAAUCGCGCCCUAGAAUCGAAACACUAAAGAAAUCGGACUUCGAAGUCUUCACAAAUCGGUAAGCCCUUUAUGGAUUAAGCUAUUUAUUUUCUAGGGCUAGCACCACAAUUUUUGUUAAUGUUAAACCUGUAAACUAUGAGAAGGAGACGAUGAUAACUCUGUUGUAGCUUAUAAUUGGAAUCUAGAUGUGAAACCCAUAAUUUCAAAAAAUAUGAUUCUCCCCUGCCAUCUUUUGCAAGGUUAUUGCUCUUCUGUUAGUAUACAUACAUAUAAAGUCUAGCAUAAGAUAUUCAUGCUCCUUUAAUUAUUACCCAAAAAUGAUGGCUCGUUUUGUGUAUAGGAUAUUGUUUAAUUUAAAGAGCAUUUCAGUGUUUAUUUUGUAUUAACAAGACGUUUGUAAUUAGAGUAGUUGCAUCCUCUAGUCACUUAUACCAGGUGGAGGAAUGUUGCACCGGUUGAGAGAACAGAUGUUUGUAGUGUUGAUAUAGUUUUUGAGUCAAUGCCUUGCAUACUUUGAUUAUCCCAAUCUUUAACUUCUGAUAUUAUAUCCACUGGCUUCAUUUAUACUCUUUUUGACAUAGUUAUGAAUAAUUUGUAAAUGUUGACUAGGACUCCCCUUUGACUAUUUCUCAUUUGUAUAGUAGUAUUAUUGGUAAUUCUGUAUUGUAAUGAUGAGCUAAAGUAACCUUUUCUUUUGGUUACAUAUAUAAAAAUAAUACCACCAACAUUAUCUUGUAUCCACAUUCGCUCCCCAGCACAUCAAUUUUCUUCAAUACUCUCUCAACAAUAUAAUUAGUCUUGAUUUUAAUCAUAGCAGAAUAACAUUAUCUAGGAGUUCCAUCUUUGUUGUGUGGCAAUGGUAAGUUCUCUCUGAUAAUAGUUCCUUAAUUUAGGAGGCAUCAUAUCUUUCCUGAAUACAUGGGAAUUCUUCUUGAAGUUUUUAAAUUUUUAUGAAUUUACUGUGAUUGUUUUAUUGGUCACUAUUAUGACGUACCUGUUGUAAAUGCAAACAUUUAAUCUUUAGGCAUUCAUAUCCAUUUCAAUUGAAUCUUAUUGUCAACUUAAAUCUUGACAUAAAUGUUACACCGAAUAGAGUCAACUUAAAUGGCCGCAGUUAAUCACUAUCAUUGCCACUGCCCAGCUAUAUUGAUAACUUCUUGGACUGAUUUAAAUCCUGAUCUUCGAUUCUAUGGAUGUCAAAUUGCAAGAGUUUGUGCAUAUAAAAAAAUUCUUUGUGGGUAUUUCAUAUGGUAUGAUCCUCCGAUGCAGUCGAGAGCCAUUCAAGUGAUACAUGGUCUGUUAAGGAGGUUGAGGGCUUUUGAAAAUGAAGCUUAAAAUUUUUGACGCAAACAGAGUAUUUACUGGGUAAUCAUAUGGGUUUCCUUGAUUUUGUUACUUUGGAAUUUCUUUGGAAUCAUCUCUGUGCAAGAAGUUGCCUAAAUAGGAAAAAUUUGUAAUUAGAAUUUGGGAGAUGAAGCAGUUAGGAUGUGUAAAGUCCCUAUUUUAAAUGUAAUGAAUUGAUUGUAAUCAAGUUUUGGUGUACUAUGUUUUUUAAAUUUAGUUUGGACCAUGAAAAUACCCUUUGAGCACUCAUCCUAACUAACAUUUUACCAUGGAAAUGAGCUUUUGGGUUAUGUAAAUUUAUAAGAAAUAUCUGAGAAUCAUUACUUAAUUACUUCCUAUUAAGUUCAAUUACUAUUAUUUUUUUGUAUGGAUUUUUUACUCCUAUUUUUACUUGUGUGAGACCAUUAGAA
rnacentral:lncRNA from 1 species